rnacentral:misc_RNA from 1 species
AAGUCGUAACAAGGUUUCCGUAGGUGAACCUGCGGAAGGAUCAUUAUUGAAUUCAACUCGCGAAGCUGUUGCUGGCUCCUCUGGGGCAUGUGCACGCUUCGAAAGUCAUUUCAACCACCUGUGAACCUUUUGUAGUCUUGGGUGACGCUACUUAUCAAAGGAAACUUUGGAUUUGAACGCUGCGGGCUUGCAAAAGUCGGCUUCGUUCUACAGCAGAACCCGGGUCUAUGCUUUAUAUACCCCAAUUGUAUGUCAUUGAAUGUGAUGCAAGGGCUUUCCAGCCUUUAAAUCAAAUACAACUUUCAGCAACGGAUCUCUUGGCUCUC